rnacentral:sRNA from 6 species
CCGCAGGUCCGGGUCUCACGUAGUGAGACAACGGAGCCGCUUGCGGCGACGGCCCGAAGGGCGAGCAAAGCGAGUCAUCCUGCACGACCCACCA